rnacentral:rRNA from 1 species
CACGUGAGAAUUUACCUUUAGGAGGGAAUAACAGUUGGAAACGAUUGCUAAUGCCGCAUAUCAUUUAUAUGAAAGAAGAAAUUCGCCUAAAGAAAAGCUUGCGUCUGAUUAGCUAGUUGGUAAGGGUAAGGCCUACCAAGGCGACGAUCAGUAGCUGGUUUGAGAGGACGACCAGCCACACUGGUACUGAGACACGGACCAGACUCCUACGGGAGGCAGCAGUGAGGAAUAUUGGUCAAUGGAGGCAACUCUGAACCAGCCAUGCCGCGUGCAGGAUGACUGCCCUAUGGGUUGUAAACU